AGCUGAGGUAACUGAUGGGGCCCUCGAAACUCAAAAGACAAUCACUGUCAAAUUUUCUGAGUUUGAGUCAUCAGUGGCCAGUAUCAAAGCCAAAGUGGUUGAUGCUCUUGGGCAGGAUGAGCUAAUUGUCCUCAUUGACAGUCACUACAAUAAAAWUGUGGACUGUGAAGGAACAAGAGGUCCUGCUUUCUGGAAGCAGCACGCAAGAAAAAUAUAUGCUGUGCCAGAGGGACAACACCAAAGGCUAAGAGGGACUAAAAUAAGGAGAGAAAGUCACCAAGAGGACACUGGAUUGCCAAGUGUAUUGGACCAAAUAGAGGAGGUCGUUCUUGCAUUACAGGGUCUGCAGGACAUCUCAAAAACCUUGAAAGACCUUGUUCAGUUUGUGCAGGCCAAUCAGCACACAGCACUGUGCCUUAACGAGAAUCAGGCUGCAGCUGUGAGAGCUGCUUUUGCUUGCAUCAUAUGCAAAGGUUAUUUUAUUGAUUUUAGGUUGCUAUGCAGAAUAUUAUUUUGAUGAUUGUGUUAAGUAUU